rnacentral:rRNA from 1 species
GACGAACGCUGGCGGCGUGCUUAACACAUGCAAGUCGAACGAAGAGCGAUGGAAGCUUGCUUCUAUCAAUCUUAGUGGCGAACGGGUGAGUAACGCGUAAUCAACCUGCCCUUCAGAGGGGGACAACAGUUGGAAACGACUGCUAAUACCGCAUACGAUCUAAUCUCGGCAUCGAGGAUAGAUGAAAGGUGGCCUCUACAUGUAAGCUAUCACUGAAGGAGGGGAUUGCGUCUGAUUAGCUAGUUGGAGGGGUAACGGCCCACCAAGGCGAUGAUCGGUAGCCGGUCUGAGAGGAUGAACGGCCACAUUGGGACUGAGACACGGCCCAGACUCCUACGGGAGGCAGCAGUGGGGAAUCUUCCGCAAUGGACGAAAGUCUGACGGAGCAACGCCGCGUGAGUGAUGACGGCCUUCGGGUUGUAAAGCUCUGUUAAUCGGGACGAAAGGCCUUCUUGCGAAGAGUGAGAAGGAUUGACGGUACCGGAAUAGAAAGCCACGGCUAACUACGU